UACGGGGGGGGCAAGCGUUGUUCGGAAUUACUGGGCGUAAAGGGCUCGUAGGUGGCCAACUAAGUCAGACGUGAAAUCCCUCAGCUUAACUGGGGAACUGCGUCUGAUACUGGAUGGCUUGAGUUCGGGAGAGGGAUGCGGAAUUCCUGGUGUAGCGGUGAAAUGCGCAGAUAUCAGGAGGAACACCGAUGGCGAAGGCAGCUCACUGGGACGGUACUGACGCUGAGACGCGAAAGCGUGGGGAGCAAACAGG
rnacentral:rRNA from 1 species